CAUCUGUGAAAGAAAGGUCAAAUUCUUUAAUUUUGUCUGAGAUAGGUAAAGAUAGAAGAAAACCUCUGCCAAGAACCUAUGAAGAAAAUGAAGUUGUAGGAAUUCUCAGUAACCUGGCCUUGAAGGAUUCUAAAAGUUCACUGCCAAAAAAAAGAUGUAUUUGAACCUUACCUCUUCAAUCAAAUACCACUGUAACUGGAGACUACAGAGAUGACUACAUCUUUCUGUUCUUUUAGUUCUGAACAGAAUUAAUUGCUGCAUCAAAAUCAAGAUAAAUCAGAGCCAGAUGUGAAAUGAUCCAUGUAAUAGACUAAUAUUUUAAUUCA